UACGGAGGGUGCAAGCGUUAUCCGGAUUCACUGGGUUUAAAGGGUGUGUAGGCGGAUAUUUAAGUCAGUGGUGAAAUCUCCAGGCUCAACCUGGAAACUGCCAUUGAUACUAUUUAUCUUGAAUUCUGUUGAGGUGGGCGGAAUACAUCAUGUAGCGGUGAAAUGCUUAGAUAUGAUGUAGAACACCGAUUGCGAAGGCAGCUCACUAAACAGCGAUUGACGCUGAGGCACGAAAGCGCGGGGAUCAAACAGG
rnacentral:rRNA from 1 species